CCUUAUAAAAAGAGGUACGGUUGCACUGGAGACAGACCAGAAUGCUUCUUCAGCCUCCUUGAAGACAUCUUGUGAUUAGUUGGAAGGAUGAAGCUCCUGGCACUAUGUGGCUUAUUUUUUGUCUUUCUUUUGUGUCUCAAUGUCUUUACAGUGGAAGGUCGGAAGGUUAAAAAAGUCUGCUGCUCAAAACUGCCCAAACCCCACAAAAAAGGUGUACAUUCCAAAAUGACUGCAACCGAAGUAAAGAAGUACUGCAAGCCUUGUCCUCAGCCAGCCCCUCCCGUGGCUCCUGGACCCCUUCCACGGUUAAAAUGAGGAAACUGAGAGCAGACUGAAAAGCAUCUGCCUGCAGUGUUUUUCAGGGUGCUUUUCUUGGUUGAGGGUCCUUCUUUCACAGAUAGGAUUUAAGUGUAUGUUACUUUUAUUUUUGGUGGGGAAAAUACUUCAGUCGGUGCUUUUUAUUUGUUCAGGCUCCUUCAUCUUUUAACAAUGGCCUGGCAGCCAAAGAGUCAGGCAAAGCUGCCUGACUGCCAGCCGACUGUGUGUCAGUCACAUAUUCAUCUGCACCAAAUAGGGAUUUAGCUCCUCAAGUAAGAGAAAAAGGAGAGCUGGCUGAAGAACUGGCUGAAUCACUUUGUCUUGCAUUUUUGGACUGCCUAAAAAUGGGGAAAGGGCUGAUGUUAUUGUUUUUAGUUAUCAGUAUAUAUGCAUGUUUAACCUUUUCUAUGGAUGAUUUAUUUUAUAUUGACAAAAGGAUUUUGUUUGUAGCUAAGCAUAUGAUCUUUUUUCCUGCAGCCUUUGCACUUGGAAGUAGAUUUCUAGCAAGUGAGAAAGAGCUCAUCAUUUAGAAAGGGCUGAGAAAUUAGAUAAGCUGGUUGUUAGAAUAGUGAUAAAGGACGAGUUUCAAGUACGGUGGUAAGCUUUUCAAUACCUCUUCUAGGGGUUUAAAUCUGCCUUUAAGAGUGAACUGUUCUUUAACUUCCUAGAACAAUUCAUCAGGUGGUUAUUAAACAGCAUACUGCAAAGGUGGUAAAGCUAAUUGGGUUAAAUCUCUUCCUCCUGAAGGCAGAAAGCAGCUGUUCUUCUAAAACACCUGAGUCGUGUGAUCACCUUUAAAUAGAACCUACUGGAGCUUGAAAUAAAUGCUAAGAAUAACACCAAAGGGUUGAAUAACAGAGAAACUGAAGCACCCUGUGCUGACAUCCUUGGUAGUGAUUGGGGUCUUCACUCAUGAAUCACCUCACCUUUCCUAACUGUCCUCUGCAUAUGCUCCUAUUUUUCUGCCUGGGGCAAGUCCUUAAACCAGAAUUACAUGGAUGUUCAGUUUUUCUUCUAGUGGAUACAAGGAGUUGUAGAAAGGCAUUCUGCUGUUGGGCAGAACAGAUUGCCAAUAGUAAUUUUUCCCUCAGUACUCAUAGUAAUGCUUUUUCUCUUAACAUAAUUUUCCAUGUAUUAGAAAUGUUCUCUGUGCCCUUCAGAAUUUGGAGGAGCUGAAUGGGGAAAGUCAGAGCCCUGUUGCAACCCACAUAGGCAAAUGCAAUUCCCAAAGAUCAACUUUAUGAGGACUUGUGUGUGGCCGUGCUCUUAUUGGCAAUGUUUCUAUUGUACUGAGCAAUUGAACCUAUUUCUGGGUCUUCUGUGUGCUUGUUAUUACUUAUUUUCUCAUUGGUUUUUAGAUUGGAUAGAUCUGACUCUCAGCUUCCUAUUUUUGAAGACCUGACCACGCAUAGCAUUUUUAUAUCAAGGACAAAGGAUCUGCAAGUCCUUCUUAUGAGAUCUGAGUCAGGAGGGUGGUGAAGAAGCUGUGUUUGAUUGUUCUGCUGCUGAUCACUGGCAAACAUAUUUUAUUUCUGUUUUGUCUUUUGUAGCUCACAGAAGGAAUCUGUAGAAUACAAAUGACAAGCAAAUGUAAAAAGCACUUUUGGUAUGAAAUGUGUUUGCAGCAGGGUUUUACUCUGUGAAAUAUGGCCAUGUGUGUUUAGAGCUCUGAUAAAACAUUUCUAACAGGUAUGAAGAUUCUGUUCUCUAAUAUGAGCUUAAGCCCUUUUAUUAUAUCUGAAAAAUACUAUAUGAUUUUUCUUUUGCCCUACACCCUCCAACCAGUGUGCUCCGCAUUCUCUGAUACUCGUUCAAGCAAGAUGUUCUCUCUGAUAGCAAACACCUGAGCCCUGAAGAAAAUUAGCACAAUUGGAGAGACACUCUGGGUCUCUGGAGGGAUGCAGGACAUCAUCCAGUGCACUGGAUUGGUUUUACUCAGUUUCCCAGACUACUUGAGGGCUACUUGAGUUAAAAAUAUUACUUAUGUGAGGCCCUGCUCUUUACUGAACAGACUAAAGCAAGUAUCCUCGAAUAUUUCAGCAUGGAUUAUGACUACUGCCCAAACACACUUCUUUGCCCUGUCUAGAGGUAUUGGGAUGUCACGUGUCAGCCUCUGAAGGUGAUUCCUCAACAGUCGUUGUCUCUUAUGUACCUGGUCAUUUUCCUCAUGUGGUAGAACCGCGCUGCCAUCUGGUUAUGGCUUCACUUACAGGCAUCUGUUCUUCCUUUUGUUUUCCUUUUGUGUCUCUGUAUGUUUGUUUGGCAUUACCUGAGGAAAACAUAUUUGCUCAGUGGCUUUUCAAAGUACACAAGCUGUAUGCUUACAUAAAGUAGUAAAUUUAGCUUAUCCAAGCUGACAAAUGCAUUUGUUUGUAUCUUGUGUUUUUUGCGUGCAUUUGGCUGUCAAGCAUGAAAAUUGCACAGCCUUCAAGUUCCAAUAGAAAUGUUCCUGUGGUAUCUCUAUGCCUGCCAGAACAGAUGUUGGAUUCGGGAUCAACCUUGUCAACUAAGUGAGCCAGGUGGCUCCUCGCUUUAUAUUUAGAGUCUAAUACCACCAGCUAACACCAAAUUAGUCUGUCUUAUUUGGCACUAUGGCUAUGAAUUGUCAGGAGCACAGGAGAAAUGAUCCCUGCUGACAAGGAAUGUUGGGGUAGAGGCAAGUUUCAGGAUCUCUUCUUUAAAAGUGGGUAAUAGAAGAAAUGAAAUUGUGUUCUUUACGCAAAAUAGGAUCCCUAAAGUUGUAAUGUGGACUUUCACUGUCAGCUUUUCAGCCCUCUAGACUGUGUGGCCCACAACUGACAGAAGCGCCUGGGUAUAGUUGGAGAAUCCAGGAUUUUAACUCUGAAAAAGGUCUGUUUAUACAUAUUAUGAACUACAAUGGCAACUUCUUGGGACCGCAUUUACCAAGGAAAAAAAAAUCCUGCAUGGACAAUAUUAUCUCAAAUAAUAAACUCAGGUAAACCAUUAAAGCAGAGGGACAAAUACUUGCUGUUGUAGAUUAAUAUAUUCUUAUAAGGUAACUCCUGCCUAAACUUAGUGGAAGACUCCUGGUGACUUCAUUGGAUCAAGUCUGGAGAUGUUUUGCCUGAUCCUGUUUUGUCUGACAUUGUUGCGAGCUAUCCCCUCAUGAACUUUAGCAAUGUAUCGUCAGAUGCCAAAUGCAGAUUGGGUUCAUAUACACUUUUUGCUGAAGCUUGUUCUGAGAAGAUUUUGUCCAAAUCUUAGCGAUUACUUUCUCCUGUACGUUGAAGGGUGAGGGGCAAACCCUCUUAGGCAUCAGUCUUUUUUUGCCUCAGAUCAACCAGUUCUUACUAGAUGUGAGCAGGUGUCUUCAUCACAGCUACGUCUCAUCAAGUAUUUUUGUAAUUACUGGUAGGGAGCAAAAAGAGGUCCCUGGUUCUACAUUAAGUGACACGAGCAAGAGUGUUGAUUCCAGCCCAGAUAUGUCUUUGAUUCUCAGUAGCCCUUUGGUAUUGUAAGAUUUAAAGCAGCCAUUGGCUGACCUGCAUUGGUUUUGAACACUUAACUGUCUUAGUGUGCUUUUUCUUUUGAUCUUGGAGCAGGGCUGUCAGCACAGAAGGAAUUUCCUGAAUUUACUUCUAUUUUCAGUGCCUCAGUGGUGGAAAUCUCUGUUAAAAAAGGUCAGUGUCUGGAUAUGAAUUUAUCCAAAUCAUAAUUCAAGCUUUGUGCCAACCUUUGUUUGCAUGUUUCAGAUGCGCUGAUUGUGAAUUUCUUCAGGUGUGAGGGAUUUAAUUCCCCAUUUUCAGGCUGAUGCUCCACAAGGGAGUGGUUAAGGCCAGAGAUUUGCUGUAGGAUAAGCACCUUAUGUUCACAAUGCCAUCUGGUCAGCCUCUGAAAGCAUUAUCGGAGAAAUCAGGUCGGUAUGUGCCUAUGAGAGAUUCUAAACUAAACAUCACUCGUCUGUCUUCUGCAGUAUGACACGGUCACAAAAAUCUCUGUAACCACAAGAAGCUGUCAUACUAAGCUCAGUUUCUGUCGAAGGCUUAAACUGCAUCCAGGAUGUUAGUUCAAGGGCUAGUCAGUCCCAGCUGGCUGCGCAUCAUGGAUACUCAUGGGGGAUGAUUCAAACCUUAUACAGGAGGCUUUUAAGCCAAAGCAUCUGAAAGUUCAGUGCACACAAAUAUGCCUGUUCAAUGGAUGGUUGUGGCUGAUUGUCCACGAGGCAGUUGUACAGUCUCUUAACUAUAUUAAGGUGCACAUGCACUUAUGGUAAAUGUAGUGCAGUCAAAGCAAUUAAUCUAUCCUAGCUAAUAGGAUCUCUAAGUACAAAAGCUAAACAGCAGCAGGGUUUCCCUCAUCUGACAGGUAAGAUGGCGCUUAUAACUUAGGUCAGUGAAGAAGAGUGGAUUUCUGUAGGGUUCUGUGGUGUUGUUUGGUCAUUGUCACUGAUCCCAGACUUGGGGAGGAGGAAGACAUUUUCCUGAGGCACAACUAAGCUAAACUGUAGCCAGUGCAGCUUGCCUGGUCUCUGAAAAUCAAAUCUCUGUAGCACACUCUUCAAAUCAGUUCCCAGAACUGAAGUGCACUGGAAAAAACUCUCUUUGCUAAGGAGAUUCUCGAGACAAAGCAUCCCAUUUGCAAUGUUGCAGAGCCCUGUGUCAGUGCCAGCUGUAUGGCAUCUUCACUGAGCAAGGCUAAAACCUAUUUGCAUCCCAGAGUUUUCCCCAAGAGAUGAAUAAGCCUGGGAAGAAAGAUGUUUUCAUAUAAAAAAUAUGUGAAGUCCGUCUGUUUACAAAUGCUUUCAGAGAAACUGUGAGAUGGUUGAAAACAAGGUUCUGAUGGAGAUGAGGUAAUGCAGGAGUGUCUGCGAGUCCCUCCUUAAAGUGUUCUUCUCAAUUCGUUGGCUUCCAAUUGUUAACUUUUCCUUACUUGGGAGACAAUAAACAAUGGCAAUUGUCAUUGGGCUCUUAUCUUGAAGUUGUUUGAAUGGACCAAGGUUAAACAAUUCAGCAUUAUACUUAGUUAAAGAUAUACCAAAACUGCUGCUUUCUUCUGCAAAAGUCUUCAGAUGAGUGAUUGUUGAAAAGAGAGAUUAAAAGAAAAUCUGAGCUGAAGUUAUGUCUAGCAAAGCACUAUGUUCUUUAACAUUGUAAUCUCCGCCUUUGAAAGGAACUCCCCUGGAUUUCCACCAAUUUAAGUCAAGACUCAAUAGUUUUGAAAGCAGAUCCUUAAGUCUGAACAGUGAAGUAAAACUGUUCUUCAUAAUUUUAUUAUAAGAUGUGCUUUGCACCUUUUCCUAUCUUUUGAACAAAACUUUCUCUCAAUUUCUUUGCCCGGCUUUCUGUCCAGUGCUUUAUUCUGUUCCUAGAUAUGAUUUUAUGUUUUGAUGCCAAAUUUUCCUCGCUGGGUGUUCUCACUGACUAGAAAUGUCAUCUUUUUUUGUCUUGGUGUGAUGGUCCCGCACCAAUUUUUUUUGACUAUGUGGGAUCUUAUCUCAGAGAAAUUCUUCUGUUGACUGAAUUUCUUGAAGUUUUUGUCCUUGUGCUGGACUACUUUAAUUUGACUCCGUUAAUUUCUGUCCAUGAGACUGACUGGAGUGCACCUUCUCAAAAAGAUGUGCUAUAAAAUGGUGCUGCAUUGUAGUUACUGUUUCCAGACACUAUUUUUUUACCAAGGACAUUUUCAGUU